rnacentral:lncRNA from 1 species
CCCUACAAAGAUAGAUACUUAGUGCUGUCAAAUUUACAUCAUGAUGUCUCACCAAUCUGCUCUUUUCUCUCCACCCUCCCACCAGGCCCCCAGCGUCUCCCUCUAGACUGUGGCCACAGCAUCCUGACAGGUCACUCCACCUCACUGCCCCAGAGUGGUCCUUCUAGAAGACAGUUCUCCUGGUGUUACUCCCUGCUUAGAAAUUCUGAUGGCUCCCAAAUGUCCUCAGGAUAAAGCACUCAUUCGUUGGCCGGGCAUGCAAGGCCAUUCAUUAUGUGGUCCUGAUCGUUCCUUCCUCAGCCUCCUCUCCCCACCCUCUGCCUCCCACCAGACCUCACUGGUGAUGAUUCUCUGAUUCUGCCAUGUUGUUAUGGUCCUGAAUGCCCUUCCCCUCAUCUCUCUCUAUCCAGUGCACCCCUCCUGAGCUGAAGUGUUCCUGUUCUCUCUGCAGCCUCUCCGACUCCCCAGGCUGGGUUGGGUGCUCCUCCCUCUCAUCCCACAGCGCUAUGUCUCAUGUCUUCUGGAAAACUUGCCAAUCCCUAGUGUAAGUGUGACUGGUCUAUUGUGAGCACCUAUUGUUCAGGGACCUCUGUUUACCUGAGAAAUUUUCAGACACUAUCCUGCUCCAAGUUCUGCAUUUUUG